rnacentral:rRNA from 1 species
UACGGGGGGGUGCGAGCGUUGUCCGGAAUCACUGGGCGUAAAGGGCGCGUAGGUGGUUUGAUAAGGGUGUGGUGAAAAGCCCGGGGCUCAACCCCCGGGUCUGCCGUGCCGACUGUCAAACUCGAGGGCUGUAGAGGCAGACGGAAUUCCGGGUGUAGCGGUGGAAUGCGUAGAGAUCCGGAGGAAGACCGGUGGCGAAGGCGGCCCGCUGGGCAGUGGCUGACGCUGAAGCGCGACAGCGUGGGGAGCAAACAGG